rnacentral:lncRNA from 1 species
UUUCCACGGCUUGACCAAGGAGCAGGCAUCUGAUGCAGACAUUUGGCUGUCUCUGCGUACAUAUAUAUACACACAAAUGUUACUUAAUGCCUCUUUCUUMAAGAGUAAGGAGCCGGCUGUGAGCUUUCCAGGUGUURUCUGCUGGGUUGGAUUUCCUGUCCCCAUCACUGACCACCAGCUGGACCUCCAUACCAUCUCGUCUUGAAAGUAAGAGGCUCUGAGCAGCCUGGGGAUGAGCAGAAAACAUCAUUCUCUGGUAUCACGGGUAAACUGAAACCCAAGGAAGAGUCUGCUUUGCUUUCUCUCCGCCGCGCCAAAUGCAUCAGCUAAUCUGGUGAUCUCCUGCCUUCGGAGAUGGACUAAAUGGAUGAGACCAUGGAAUUCAAAUGCACCUUUAGCACUGCUCAUUUCCUAAUUCACCAGCAAUAAAGUGGUCAUUGCUGAUGACA